rnacentral:rRNA from 1 species
GGGCUUCGGCCUGGUGGCGAGUGGCGAACGGGUGAGUAAUGCGUCGGAACGUGCCGAGUAAUGGGGGAUAACGCAUCGAAAGGUGUGCUAAUACCGCAUACGCUCUGAGGAGGAAAGCGGGGGACCUUCGGGCCUCGCGUUAUUCGAGCGGCCGACGUCUGAUUAGCUAGUUGAUGGGGUAAAGGCUCACCAAGGCGACGAUCAGUAGCGGGUCUGAGAGGAUGAUCCGCCACACUGGGACUGAGACACGGCCCAGACUCCUACGGGAGGCAGCAGUGGGGAAUUUUGGACAAUGGGCGAAAGCCUGAUCCAGCCAUGCCGCGUGAGUGAAGAAGGCCUUCGGGUUGUAAAGCUCUUUUGUCCGGGAGGAAAUCCCGUAACCCAAUACGUUACGGGGAUGACAGUACUGGAAGAAUAAGCACCGGCUAACUACGUGCCAGCAGCCGCGGUAAUACGUAGGGUGCAAGCGUUAAUCGGAAUUACUGGGCGUAAAGCGUGCGCAGGCGGUUUGAUAAGUCAGAUGUGAAAUCCCCGGGCUUAACCUGGGAACUGCGUUUGAAACUGUCAGGCUAGAGUACGUCAGAGGGGGGUGGAAUUCCACGUGUAGCAGUGAAAUGCGUAGAGAUGUGGAGGAACACCGAUGGCGAA